UAUCUGAAAUGGUUGGAUUUUCACAGUGUGUGUGGAUGUAAUGGUGUGCUGGACCUAUCUGGUUCCUCAGUCAGCUGCUAUCAGAGCCAGGGGCAAGAUGGACCUUUGUUCUUACUCUCUACUUGAAAUCCUUUGAUGCUUUUUGUCAAUAAGUAAGAACCUGAGGCUGCCUGAAUGAAGUCUUCCUUAUAAGAAUACUCCAGUGCUAACGAUGACAACAGUGAAGGAACCAGCAGUUCAGUACUGGAGGAUGCUGCUGGGGGAACAUUGACAUAAGGGCAGGCAGCACUCAGCUCCCAGUCCUGCACUGUGAUCCAUCCAUCCUGCAGAGAACUGGCUCUGCUUCGUACGAGUGCCAUUAAACACCUGGAGGGCUAUGGUGCUUCAGUGGUAAGUGAGGUAACAAUUUAAAAGAACUAACUCAUUAUACGAAAUGACUCUGUCUGCUGCGAUACUUAAAAUCAUCUUGCGACACUCUGGAGCUCAAUGCAUAAAAUAUCAGGUUGGUGGCAUUCACUCAAACCCCAUCUGGUCAAGGAAGAAACAGCAAACAGGGCGUGCACAGCGUAUUCUCCUUAAUGCUGCUCUCUCCACACUUGUAUGUCAGACCACUUCCAUGCCAGUGUCUGCCAGCUCAGUUCUCGUUAUCCACAUAAGGAAAGACGGUGCAGUCUCUAUUCUCAAGAUCAUCUUCAUGAAAAUAUCCAUGGAUUGACUGCAAAGAAACGAGAGGAACUAACAGGGAG